UUGAGCCCAUAUAUUUUUUCUUCCCUAACAGAUCUCGGUUGCGGUAAUUAGGACGAACCCUACCUCAGCUCGCCGCACAAGCGAUGAUUGUGGCGGCAGCAUCAGGCUCCUCACCUUCCAAAAACUCAAGCGCCUACCUGUCUCCUCGCCGUUCUCUGAUUCUCCGUCCGCACACCGGCGACCAACUGGGCUUAUGGUUUUUGGGGGAAAAAAGGGACAGGGAACGGAGAGAUGUUGUGCCACCAUCGCCACUCGCCAUGGUCCUCUUGUCUUCUAUAUCUGCACAAGCCGCCUUUUUCCUCUCCUUCCUCUCAAUCGUAAUCAAUGAGAUGUAUUUCUUAUUUGUGCACAUGUGUUUUCUUAGGGAUUUUCUGGAAUAUGCUAGCGCGUGUACCCAAGGACUCCCCUUCAAAUUAUGCAGUUUGAAGACGUGGACGUGCAGUGGAGGACAUGUUUCUGCGAGAGAGAAAGCCAAGAGCAAAAUAUGAAGAUUUUACUUGCAUCCUUUAGCCAUGUAAAAAGCGAAAAAUGCUGGCUACAAGUCAAUGGAUCAAUGAUGUGAAAGGCUGUUAUGCUAAUGAAGUUCACAUAAGGAAUAUUGCUUGGAUAAUGAUGAUCAGACCCUUUGUUUCUACUCUCUCAAGGUAUAUUUUGGGCCUGAUUAUUGAUGUGCUUCGUUAUCCAGAUUUUGUUCCAGAAAUCAAGCAGUCCCAAAAUCACAUUUCAAACAAUCUACAUAGGUUAUGAAUAAACCAUCAAGUUCCAUAUCCUUUUGAAAAGUAUCGCUCUGCCAAAUGAUGCAUAUAUUAAAUGGAGCUGCCAUACCAUUAUUGUUAGUCUAAAAAAAGAAAUAGGGUAUAUUGUUAUCCUCAUAUUUGAUAGAUCCUUGACCUUCUAAUUGAGAUUUUUAGUUACCUUUUGAGAGGAUGGUGUGAAUAGAAUUCUUCAGAUACCUUUGCGCAAAAUGGCUGCAGAUUAUGUGGUGUGGCAGUUGGAUAGCAAAGGUCUACACUCUGUUAAACAAGCCUACAAGGUUCACGUUUAGUUGGACAAUUAGUUCCAUGGGCUGGAUGCAGGAAGCAUCUCAAUUAAUCCUGGAAAUAUUGAAGCUCUGAUGACAGCUUCUGAUGCCGCGUCUAGGUUUUAUCUUGGCUUCCAAAUUAUAGAUGUUUGCUCACAUAGUACCGCACAAUUCCCUGACUCUGCGUGUAAACCUGAAAAUUGGAGGAAUUUUCAUGGACGAGUUUUUUAGUCAAAUGAAAAGUGAUUAAAGAAACAUGGCGAGGACUCUGUCUGGAGCAAUGCAGAUCUGAGCUGGCAGAGAUGCAAUUGAUCAGGGCUACUGUUCUCAUAAUCAUGAAAUUUCCAUAACUAAUAUAUGUUUUAAGGUCCUUGCUGGUGGCAACGGUGGAAUAAAAGAAACAAGAUUCAAGGGGAUGAUACACCAAUGUCAACACAUGAAGUGAUGCAUAAGAUGGUCUCCUAUACAAUCGAGCACCUAGAAUUGUUCAAGAAGGAGAAAUGCAAGGAAAAGAAUGAUAAGGGUACAAGUGAAAGCUGCGGCUGAUGGAUGUUCAAAUUUAAUGUAAAUGGCUCUUCCAUUCCUAGGGAUGCCUUGGCCGGUUGGGGUGUAAUUGGGGCAGACGAUAAGGAAGAGGUCGUAGCUGCUCUAUGGGAAUGAAAGGUCACGUCCAAGAUGCCUUCUGAGCCGAACUGUGUGCGCUAUCUGAAGUUGUUAGGCUGGUGCUAUUAGAAGUUGUGAAGGUGCAGCUGAAAACUUGAUUCUCAAGGUGCGAUAUCAACCAAUGCAGGAGAGAAGCAAACAUUCACGAGCUCAGUUAGUAGAUUAUUUCCUCUUAAUGGUUUUUUAUCCGGAGAGUUUCAUAGAACGGCAAGGUUGGCAAUUGUAAAGCGCAAUAUGCGCAGUUUGUCAUCGUAAUAAAGCUGAUUCUUACCCUCAAAAUUAACAAACGAUAAA